rnacentral:rRNA from 1 species
GAUGAACGCUGGCGGCGUGCCUAAUACAUGCAAGUCGAGCGAACAGACGAGGAGCUUGCUCCUCUGACGUUAGCGGCGGACGGGUGAGUAACACGUGGAUAACCUACCUAUAAGACUGGGAUAACUUCGGGAAACCGGAGCUAAUACCGGAUAAUAUAUUGAACCGCAUGGUUCAAUAGUGAAAGACGGUUUUGCUGUCACGUAUAGAUGGAUCCGCGCCGCAUUAGCUAGUUGGUAAGGUAACGGCUUACCAAGGCAACGAUGCGUAGCCGACCUGAGAGGGUGAUCGGCCACCCUGGAACUGAGACACGGUCCAGACGCCUACGGGAGGCAGCAGUAGGGAAUCUUACGCAAUGGGCGAAAGCUUGACGGAGCAACGCCGAGUGAGUGAUGAAGGUCUUCGGAUCGUAAAACUCUGUUAUUAGGGAAGAACAAAUGUGUAAGUAACUAUGCACGUCUUGACGGUAACUAAUCAGAAAGCCACGGCUAACUACGUG